GAUGAACGCUAGCUACAGGCUUAACACAUGCAAGUCGCGUGGCAGCAUGGGGGUUGCUUGCACUCCCCGAUGGCGACCGGCGCACGGGUGAGUAACGCGUAUCCAACCUGCCCUUCACCACGGGAUAACCCGGCGAAAGUCGGACUAAUACCGUAUGUUGUCCAUUGACGGCAUCCGAUUUGGACGAAAGGCUUGGCGGUGAGGGAUGGGGAUGCGUCCGAUUAGCCAGACGGCGGGGUAACGGCCCACCGUGGUUACGAUCGGUAGGGGUUCUGAGAGGAAGGUCCCCCACACUGGAACUGAGACACGGUCCAGACUCCUACGGGAGGCAGCAGUGAGGAAUAUUGGUCAAUGGGCGUAAGCCUGAACCAGCCAAGUAGCGUGCAGGAUGACGGCCCUAUGGGUUGUAAACUGCUUUUAUGCGGGGAUAAAGUGGCCCACGUGUGGGCUUUUGCAGGUACCGCAUGAAUAAGGACCGGCUAAUUCCGUG
rnacentral:rRNA from 1 species